rnacentral:lncRNA from 1 species
AUUCGGUUGCCGAGGCUCAUUGAGUCCAUCACUGGUGGCCCAAGUAAUCGACCCGUGCCUUUUGACUCACCAUUCUCUCGCUCUCGGUUUCUUCAAUUGGGCCUCACAGCAACCUGGAUUUGCUCACACAUCGAUCACCUACCAAUCAAUCCUCAAAUCUCUCUCCCUUUCUCGUCAAUUCAAUUCCAUCGAGUCUGUCUUAAAACAAGCUAAAGCCCAGAAAUUGUCUCUCGAUUCUUCAACUCAUCGCUUUGUUAUUAAUUCUUUAAUCAAAGGGAAGAAGAUCCAGAAUGCUUUUUUAGUUUUUGGGGAGGUUAAAUCUCAAAUUUUAGAUAUUGGGUCUCAGACGUGUAACUUGCUUUUAGCUAAUCUGGCUUCUAAUGGGUGUUUUGAUAAUGCGUUAAAGGUGUUUGAUGAAAUGUCUAUGCGUGGUGUUGCUUUUAGCACUGUUGGGUUAGGCGUGUUUAUAUGGAGGUUUUGUAGGGAGGCUGAUUUGGGUAAAGUUAUGAGUAUGUUAGAUCAAGUUAAAAGGGGCAGUUCGUGAAAAUAAAUUUUUUCCUACUUUUUAAAAUAAAAUUUUUCCUACUUUUUAAAAUUUGCUUUCAGUCAAAUAAAUAUAUAUCAGAAAGGAAAUUUGGUAUUUGUAUAAAAUAUCUGACUGAAAAUAAAUUUUAUAAAGUAAGAUUUAGUAUUUAAGAUGAUUCUAAAAAAUAAUAAAAAAAAGUUGCAGAGGGCAAAAGAGGAGAGAAAAUUUCAUUAUUCUCAAAAAAAAAAAAAAAUCAUAAAUUUUAUAUUUUCAUUAAUGUAAGUCAUUAGAAUGGAGAGAUUUUGAUUAAUAGAUUAGCUUUUUAUUAAAUUUAAUUGUAAAUAAAUAUGAAAAAAAAAUUCCUAAAAGCUUGCCUUAAUGUAUAUUUGAUUAUCUGAUGUCUACUAUUUCAAAAUUGACAGUUUUACUUAUUCAUUACACUACCAUUUGGUGAAGAAGAUUAAGAAUUUGAGAGAUUUAAACAGUGCGUUUUGCAAGGGGCGUGUUCUUUUCAACUUUACAAACCGUUUGCUAGUCAUGCGCUUCUUCUAUUUCUUCCUCAAUGAGACCUGUUGCAGCCGAGUUAGCAACUCGGAUAAGCCAAGCUCUGAUCUCCGCGUCAAAUAACACAAUCCCAACUCGGUCAUGGACGCCAUCACUCGAACCAAUUCUACACAAAUUCGGUUGCCGAGGCUCAUUGAGUCCAUCACUGGUGGCCCAAGUAAUCGACCCGUGCCUUUUGACUCACCAUUCUCUCGCUCUCGGUUUCUUCAAUUGGGCCUCACAGCAACCUGGAUUUGCUCACACAUCGAUCACCUACCAAUCAAUCCUCAAAUCUCUCUCCCUUUCUCGUCAAUUCAAUUCCAUCGAGUCUGUCUUAAAACAAGCUAAAGCCCAGAAAUUGUCUCUCGAUUCUUCAACUCAUCGCUUUGUUAUUAA